UAAAGGCGAAGUUGAGAGUGCAUUUUAUACAUUUUAUUCGGAAAUAAGGCGAUAUAUCGAUAAUUAAAUCACAGUUAGGAACGAAUAUUUGCUAUAGAUAGUUGUCGUUAAGUAUUAUGAAGAAAGAAUCAUAGUUUAUAACCGAACAAGAGACAAACUUGUGACCAGAUGUUCCGUAUCUAUAGUACAAUUUGACGUCAUGCUAAAGACAAACUUGUGACCAGUGUUCCGUAUCUGUAGCAGUUUGACAU